rnacentral:ribozyme from 15 species
CACACACCCACACACACUGAAACCUUUCCAGAGAAAAAAAAAAACAAUAGAAAAAACGACACAAAAACAACCACAACAAUGCUACUUUUUUUUAACCAUUAUAUUCAUGAUUCAAUUUUUAUUUCUUUAUAAAAA